GUGAACGCUGGCGGUAGGCCUAACACAUGCAAGUCGAACGGCAGCACAGUAAGAGCUUGCUCUUACGGGUGGCGAGUGGCGGACGGGUGAGGAAUACAUCGGAAUCUACCUUUUCGUGGGGGAUAACGUAGGGAAACUUACGCUAAUACCGCAUACGACCUACGGGUGAAAGCAGGGGAUCUUCGGACCUUGCGCGAUUGAAUGAGCCGAUGUCGGAUUAGCUAGUUGGCGGGGUAAAGGCCCACCAAGGCGACGAUCCGUAGCUGGUCUGAGAGGAUGAUCAGCCACACUGGAACUGAGACACGGUCCAGACUCCUACGGGAGGCAGCAGUGGGGAAUAUUGGACAAUGGGUGCAAGCCUGAUCCAGCCAUACCGCGUGGGUGAAGAAGGCCUUCGGGUUGUAAAGCCCUUUUGUUGGGAAAGAAAAGCAGCAGGUUAAUACCCCGCUGUUCUGACGGUACCCAAAGAAUAAGCACCGGCUAACUUCGUG
rnacentral:rRNA from 1 species